UAAUACGUAGGGCGCGAGCGUUGUCCGGAUUUAUUGGGCGUAAAGAGCUCGUAGGCGGCUUGUCGCGUCGACUGUGAAAACCCGCGGCUCAACUGCGGGCCUGCAGCCGAUACGGGCAGGCUAGAGUUCGGUAGGGGAGACUGGAAUUCCUGGUGUAGCGGUGAAAUGCGCAGAUAUCAGGAGGAACACCGGUGGCGAAGGCGGGUCUCUGGGCCGAUACUGACGCUGAGGAGCGAAAGCGUGGGGAGCGAACAGGAUUAGAUACCCUGGUAGUCCACGCUGUAAACGUUGGGCGCUAGGUGUGGGGGACCUCUCCGGUUCUCUGUGCCGCAGCUAACGCAUUAAGCGCCCCGCCUGGGGAGUACGGCCGCAAGGCUA
rnacentral:rRNA from 1 species